UUAGUCGAAGAAAAGCUCACCAAAUAACUGCUGUUUCUACGACAAAAUUUCAGACGUCUUUCGAGAUUUGACCGAUAAGCGAUUUUUGGGAUGGCAAUGACAAUAGCACAAAGAUUAGGUCGGGAAUUACUCCUAUUGUCAUUCGAAGCCAAUAGCCCAGGCUUGAUUAAGUUCAAACAAUAAUCGCGCAGACUGUAUCUUAAAAAGAUUAAAAAUACCGAGUCUAGUUUUGGCUUAUCGCUUUGUUCAACAUGAAUAUACAGGGACUCCAAAGUUCAAACUAGUGCUACGACGGAGAAAAACAACCCAAGACCUAUCCUGUCAUUAGUGCGCUGAGUCAUAGACUCCGGCACGCCGAAAUCGAUUUCCUUAUGUUCCUGCAGCCAUCCUGCUAGAAUGACAGUUGGUGGGCUGUCGAACAUUUAAACAAUUCGGCUGGGCCGCGUGUACCGUUCGUCGAAGGUUAAACGCCAUAUUAUACCGUGUGUCCGACCAAGCAUGGAUGUGUGGCAAGAUGGCGCCGCCAUCACAGCCGCCGGUUUACUGACUGAGUAAGAAGUGGGCCGGAGGUCGUCGACCGCUCGCGAAAGUUAGCGCGCGCUCCAUUCGAGAAUAUCCACCCAUGACAUUUGCCCAGGACAAAGGACCUCGCAGGAUGACGCGCCAGGAGCGCGCGCCGCAGGAGCGCGUCCGCGUCCUGCUGGCCCAGGAGGCGGCGAUUUUGCUGCCCUAAAGCACUACCUCCCGGUUACGCCACUGCUGGCAUUUGGAAAUCACCGCACGAAAAUGCCGACUUUAGAAAGUUAUUAUUCCGUGGCGGAAAACGAUUUUCUUUGUUGGGCUUUUCGACGACUUGAAAGUAAAACUAACGGAUAACACUUAUUGAGAUAAGUAAAGAAAUAAAUAAACAUGGCCUCAAAAAUAA